GUGAAAUCCCAAGCAAAAUCUUGCCCAAGAAAACCUGCGUUUCUGGAAAAAAAAUAAGAAAAUAACAUAAUUAAAGGUUUGGAUCUGGAAAUGAAAAAUAAAAUAAAAACAGAAUUAAGAAUAUUGAAUCAAAAAUUCGAGAAAUUAAAAAUAAAGUUGAGAGAAAGGAAAUUCUUAUGGGAGGUUCUAGCCUCCAGUUGUC
rnacentral:lncRNA from 1 species